AAGGAAUUGACGGGGGCCCGCACAAGCGGNGGAGCAUGUGGUUUAAUUCGAAGCAACGCGAAGAACCUUACCAGGNUCUUGACAUACUCGUGCUAUUCCUAGAGAUAGGAAGUUCCUUCGGGACACGGGAUACAGGUGGUGCAUGGUUGUCGUCAGCUCGUGUCGUGAGAUGUUGGGUUAAGUCCCGCAACGAGCGCAACCCUUAUUGUUAGUUGCCAUCAUUAAGUUGGGCACUCUAGCGAGACUGCCGGUAAUAAACCGGAGGAAGGUGGGGAUGACGUCAAAUCAUCAUGCCCCUUAUGACCUGGGCUACACACGUGCUACAAUGGUUGGUACAACGAGUCGCAAGACAGUGAUGUCAAGCUAAUCUCUUAAAGCCAAUCUCAGUUCGGAUUGUAGGCUGCAACUCGCCUACAUGAAGUCGGAAUCGCUAGUAAUCGCGGAUCAGCACGCCGCGGUGAAUACGUUCCCGGGCCUUGUACACACCGCCCGUCACACCACGAGAGUUUGUAAUACCCAAAGCCGGUGAGCUAACCUUUUAGGAGGCAGCCGUCUAAGGUAGGAUAGAUGAUUGGGGUGAAGUCGUAACAAGGUAGCCGUAUCGGAAGGUGCGGCUGGAUCACCUCCUU
rnacentral:rRNA from 1 species